rnacentral:rRNA from 1 species
UACGGAGGGGGCUAGCGUUGUUCGGAAUUACUGGGCGUAAAGCGCACGUAGGCGGACUGUUAAGUCGGGGGUGAAAUCCUGGGGCUCAACCUCAGAAUUGCCUCCGAUACUGGCAGUCUCGAGUGCGGGAGAGGUGAGUGGAAUUCCCAGUGUAGAGGUGAAAUUCGUAGAUAUCUGGAGGAACACCGGUGGCGAAGGCGGCGUUCUGGACUGCUACUGACACUGAGGAACGAAAGCCAGGGGAGCAAACGGG